GAUGAACGCUGGCGGCAUGCCUAACACAUGCAAGUCGAUCGGUAAGGCUCUUCGGAGUACACGAGAGGCGGAAGGCUGAGUAACGCGUAGGAACACACCCUGCAGUGAGGGAUAAGACACCGAAAGGUGUUCUAAUACCGCAUACGGUCUUCGGAUUAAAGCAUUUAUGCGCUGAAGGAGUGGCCUGCGUCAUAUUAGAUAGUUGGUGAGGUAAUGGCUCACCAAGUCGAUGAUGUGUAGCUGGUCUGAGAGGAUGAUCAGCCAGACUGGAACUGAGACACGGUCCAGACUCCUACGGGAGGCAGCAGUGAGGAAUAUUUCACAAUGAGCGAAAGCUUGAUGGAGCAAUGCCGCGUGCAGGAUGAAGGCCCUCGGGUUGUAAACUGCUUUUAUAAGAGAAGAUUAUGACGGUAACUUAUGAAUAAGGGACGGCUAACUACGUG
rnacentral:rRNA from 1 species